UUGUAAUUUGCAGAGGAUGCUUUUGGCGCGGUGCCUUCCGAGUUCCCUGGAACGGGACGCCAUAGAGGGUGAGAGCCCCGUCUGGUCGGACGCCUAGCCUGUGUAAAGCUCCUUCGACGAGUCGAGUAGUUUGGGAAUGCUGCUCUAAAUGGGAGGUAUAUGUCUUCUAAAGCUAAAUACCGGCCAGAGACCGAUAGCGCACAAGUAGAGUGAUCGAAAGAUGAAAAGCACUUUGAAAAGAGGGUUAAAUAGUACGUGAAAUUGUUGAAAGGGAAGCGCUUGUGACCAGACUUGGGCCCGGUGGAUCAUCCAGCGUUCUCGCUGGUGCACUCCGCCGGGUUCAGGCCAGCAUCAGUUCGCCGCGGGGGAAAAAGGCUUCGGGAACGUGGCUCCUACGGGAGUGUUAUAGCCCGUUGCAUAAUACCCUGGGGCGGACUGAGGUUCGCGCUCCGCAAGGAUGCUGGCGUAAUGGUCAUCAGCGACCCGUCUUGA
rnacentral:rRNA from 1 species